rnacentral:rRNA from 1 species
AGAGUUUGAUCCUGGCUCAGGAUGAACGCUAGCUACAGGCUUAACACAUGCAAGUCGAGGGGAAACGACAUCGAAAGCUUGCUUUUGAUGGGCGUCGACCGGCGCACGGGUGAGUAACGCGUAUCCAACCUGCCCACCACUUGGGGAGUAACCUUGCGAAAGUAAGACUAAUACCCAAUGAUAUCUCUAGAAGACAUCUGAAAGAGAUUAAAGAUUCAUCGGUGAUGGAUGGGGAUGCGUCUGAUUAGCUUGUUGGCGGGGUAACGGCCCACCAAGGCAACGAUCAGUAGGGGUUCUGAGAGGAAGGUCCCCCACAUUGGAACUGAGACACGGUCCAAACUCCUACGGGAGGAUGCA